UGCCUAAUACAUGCAAGUCGAACGAAGCUUUCUUUCACCGAAUGCUUGCAUUCACCGAAAGAAGCUUAGUGGCGAACGGGUGAGUAACACGUAGGCAACCUGCCCAAAAGAGGGGGAUAACACUUGGAAACAGGUGCUAAUACCGCAUAACCAUGAACACCGCAUGAUGUUCAUGUAAAAGACGGCUUUUGCUGUCACUUUUGGAUGGGCCUGCGGCGUAUUAACUUGUUGGUGGGGUAACGGCCUACCAAGGUGAUGAUACGUAGCCGAACUGAGAGGUUGAUCGGCCACAUUGGGACUGAGACACGGCCCAAACUCCUACGGGAGGCAGCAGUAGGGAAUCUUCCACAAUGGACGAAAGUCUGAUGGAGCAACGCCGCGUGAAUGAAGAAGGCCUUCGGGUCGUAAAAUUCUGUUGUCAGAGAAGAACGUGCGUGAGAGUAACUGUUCACGUAUUGACGGUAUCUGACCAGAAAGCCACGGCUAACUACGUGCCAGCAGCCGCGGUAAUACGUAGGUGGCGAGCGUUGUCCGGAUUUAUUGGGCGUAAAGGGAACGCAGGCGGUCUUUUAAGUCUGAUGUGAAAGCCUUCGGCUUAACCGAAGUAGUGCAUUGGAAACUGGAAGACUUGAGUGCAGAAGAGGAGAGUGGAACUCCAUGUGU
rnacentral:rRNA from 2 species